AUGAACGCUGGCGGCGUGGAUAAGGCAUGCAAGUCGAACGCCCCGCAAGGGGAGUGGCAGACGAGGUAGUAAUAUUUAGGUACGUACCCUUAAGUCAGGGAUAACCCGUCGAAAGACGGACUAAUACUUGAUAGUCUCUUCGGAGUAAAGUUUUAACGCUUAAGGAACGGCCUGAACGAUAUCAGCUAGUUGGUAGGGUAAUGGCCUACCAAGGCAAUGACGUCUAGGGGACCUGAGAGGGUGACCCCCACCGAUGGAACUGAGAUACGGUCCAUACACCUACGGGUGGCCGCAGUCGAGACUCUUCCGCAAUGGGCGAAAGCCUGACGGAGCGACGCCGCGUGCAGGAUGAAGUGCUUCGGCAUGUAAACUUCUUUUCUUAGGGAAAAAGUUUAUUGCUUGUACCUAAAGAAUACGGGGUUGCUAACCUCGU
rnacentral:rRNA from 1 species